rnacentral:lncRNA from 1 species
UUGAAAUUUGCUGCCCUUCUUGGGUUUCAUUUAGAAAUAGAGCUUGUUGUUUGAUUCAAUUAUUCUUAAAUAAAAGCUUCAUCAACAUGUCUGAAGAUUAUUUAUAGGAGAUGACUUUAACAAAUGGUGAUACAUAUGACCAAGUAACAGGAAUCGUCUUAAUAAGUUUGUGAAGGAUAAUUGAAAUCUGUCAAUUAUCGAGGUUGUUUAUUUCUAGUGAGGAAUCCCCGCCAUGUGUACUAUUUUACCCUUCCCUUCACAUUGACAAUUUCAGAAUGUUUAUGUGGUUCUAUAAUCCAUUGCUCUUCUCUGUUCAAUUCUAAUUAAUGUUUCAGUUUUGCGACCUGUGGGCAAAACCUCAACUACAGAUAGAGAAUAAGUAGUAUCUUAUGUGUAGAAGUUUUCACCUUCCUAUUCUUUUCUUACAUUUGAUUAGCUUUUGAAAAAAUGAGCAUCCAUUGAGUGUUGGCAC